CUACGGAGUACAUAUAAGUAAUUUAAAUUACUUAACUAACCAUUUUUAAGACCAUUUUAUUAAUAAUGAUAUUUACGACAUGUUAUGAGCUUGGUCAGCAUUAUAUCUAGUUUUGAGAGAACAUUAAUCUCUCAAUGUUCUUUGAAAACUGAAUAGUAAGAUAUUUUAAUUAAUAUUUACCAACGACAUCAAACAUAUAAAAUAAAAGGUUUAUUUGUUUUGAUUUUAUCGAGUAAAAGAAACAUUUAUGUUUCAUUGAAAUGUCUUAGAACACACAUCAAUAAUAUGACACAACAAUAGGUUAUACAUUUUAAAUAUUAAGAGUA
rnacentral:misc_RNA from 1 species